AUGCCGGCCCGCUCCCCUGCCAGUGGCCUGCCCUCGCCAGCUGCGAGCCUGGGAUGGAGCAUGCCCGAAAAGGGGGAGAUCCAGGGCGAGCCCAGCGGCUUCAGACCAGCGGAUGGCGGCAUGGCUCCCCCAAAUGAGUGCCCCCGCCUCAAAUCCAUCGUGGGCGCGCCGCGGGGCAGGCACCUCUGCAUCAAUAAGAAGGCCGCGAUCGAGCCGGUCAAGAGGAAGGAAGCGACGGCUGGGCCCUUCCGCCAGCCAAAAGCAAGGGGCAAGAGCGUGGCCCGGCGUAAGUCCGGCGGCUCGACGGUGGCAGAGUCGUCGGGCGGCCCCUCGCUGCUCACCCCACCGCGCAGGCUCACACAGGAGCAAGGGCAGGGUGCAGGCCUUGCUGGGGGGCAGGACGCGACAGAGGACCCGGUUGAGGAGUUCUUCCAGGGAGCAAAGCAAACCCUCCCCCCACCCGCACGGCACCGCCCUGACGCCAUGGCCGCGAAGAUCGAUGAGGAGAUCGCCGCCAAGCUUGACAAGCCGUUGCGCUUCGAAGAUGGGGAAGAUGGAGGCAGUGACGGAUCGCUGGACAUGGGGCCUACCCUGUCCCUGGCCCGCCACACCCCGCUGGCUGCAAACACGCAAGAAGUGCAGCUGGGUGCAGUCAUGCAGAGGGUCACUGAGAUGCAGCUCCAAGAGGAGGGAGCUGAGGGCGCACUGCAGCUGCCCCUCUUCUCCAAGCCGGCGCCAGCGAUCGUCGGAAAGCCACCGGCAAGAGACAAGACGCCUCUCAAGGCUCGCCCACAGGCCAAGCCGGCCAGGCAGAGCGCACGACAAGCUGCCAACCCUUCCCUGGUGCCGGUCUCCCAGCGGGCGACGCUCAGGCUAGUGCAGGGCCUCGGUGUCCUCAGGCCAAAGGAGAAGAUGACGGCUCAAGCUGCUGAAGCCCUCAUCCGCCGUCUCGAUGAACCUCUGUCUGACCAUGACAUCGCUGCCAUCGCGAAGCUCACCAGCCUCGACGCCAACGCGCUCAAGGCGAUCGCUGGCAUGCCUAGCCAGCAUGGAAGCGCCGCGCCGCCUCAUUCCCCAUGUUAG
rnacentral:rRNA from 1 species